UACGGGGGGGGCAAGCGUUUGUUCGGAAUUACUGGGCGUAAAGGGCGCGUAGGCGGCCUGCUAAGUCGGACGUGAAAUCCCUCGGCUCAACCGAGGAACUGCGUCCGAUACUGGUGGGCUUGAAUCCGGGAGAGGGAUGUGGAAUUCCUGGUGUAGCGGUGAAAUGCGCAGAUAUCAGGAAGAACACCCGUGGCGAAGGCGGCUCUCUGGAACGCAACUGACGCUGAGACGCGAAAAGCGUGGGGAGCAAACAGG
rnacentral:rRNA from 1 species